CACUCACAGCCAGGCCUAUCUUGGUCAGACGAGCGGCCUCCUGUGUUCCUGCCUCAGGGUCCCCUUCGGUGAAAUGGUGACAAGAUAGCACAGACCUUCUGAGAGCGCCCCCUAUGUGGACAUCGUCCUCAGCGCUUUGCGCCGAUGUGCUCACAAGAUUCCUACUGAGCCCUACUUUCUAUUCCCGCUUCACAGAGACGCAUUGCGAGAAGAGACAAGUUGAGUAACAAUAACAGUAAUAGUGACGAAUGAGGUCCCGUUCCUUGCCCUGAGCCCGGCCUUUUACGUGGAUCAGCGCUUGGACAGCACAACCACAAGAAAAUUGCCCUCUUGAGCAGCUGCAUGGAUGAGCAGUCCCAAGAGUACUGCCUUCAGGAUCACAGGUCUGGUUCUGCCGGUAUCUGACUGGGGGCCCCGGGGGCGCGGGUCACAAAGCCUCUGAGCCCCAACGUCCCCAUCUGUCGCAUGGAGGCACCAUCAGCACCCAUUCCGCUUGCAUGGCCAGCUCAGGGGUGCCGAGUGACUCCUCUGCACUCUUGUAAGACUUAUGGCUCGAUGAUUGUUGUGCGGCCACAUUUAGGCGGGUUUUUAAAAAGAUUGAUUGGUUGAUUGAUUGAUUUAAGAGAGCACGAGCGAGAGGGGCAGAGGGAGAGAGAAACUCAAGCAGACUCCGCGCUGUGCAGGGAGUCUGAUUCGAGGUUGGAUCUCAGGACCCUGAAAUCAAGACCUGAGCAGAGAACACGAGUCGGAGGCUCAACAGACUGCCCCUUUCAGGCGCCCCUAGGCGGUUUUGAAUAGCACAAUAGAAAAUGUUAAUAAAGUGCAACUUUAUGUGCAGAAUUUGAGCUAAGGUAUUCGUUCAAAUUAAAAAUCCCCCAAAAGACCCAGCUCCAGGCCUGUGCCCCAGAGAAGCACGGUCCGAAUUCGCGCCGUGGCCACAAGAGGGCGCCCGUGAGCGGAGGCCGAGCCGUGGGAGGGCGGCUGCGCCAGCCCGGGACCCGCCAGUCGAGCUUUGUCUGUUUCCCGGGGAACGCAGGCUUUCGCUGGCUUCCACGCCCGCACCCUCCGCCUCUCCCUCACACCUCUCUGCUGCCCAGACGACCUGUCCUGGCGCAUCCCACCUUCUCCCACCGCCAAGACCUCCCCAGGGCUCGCGGCCAACUCGUGGGAGUUUCCCUCCCACGUGGCGCGGCCCCUGGCCAUCUUCGCAGGGAAUCUCCUCCACACCCGAUUGUGCUCCGGGGUCUGAUUCUCUCUCGAAGCACUGGGUGGUCCCAUCGCCCCACUCAACGCACGCCGCUCCGCCUGGCCGUCACCUCUCCUGCUCCUGAAAUCCGGCCUUCUGUCUUCCAUGACGUCCUCUCGCGUCCGGACUUCCGCAUUUCUCUGUCCUGAACACAACCAAAACACCCAGCUGUAUGACAGACACCCCGACCCUGACGGUCCACCGCCGAGCUACCUCCCCCCUGGCAUCCCAGCUAUUCUCCCUGUGGCUCAGGCCACCCCCACUCCCACUCAACAGCAAGUCAGUCGGCUCUCUGCUCAACAGCUGGGAGGCCUGUGGAGACCCAGCCCCCGAGGCGCCCACUGCUCGGCUGGCCCCUCUCGCCCGCCCCAGCUGUGUGGGCACCUGGGCCAGAGCCCAGCCUCCCCGGCCCGCCUUCUGCACGCCCGCGGGCUCACCGCCCUACGGUCUCCUCUCAAAGCUACCUUCUCCGGUGGGCUAUUGUCAUAAAAGGGAAGGAAGCCCUGACACACGCCACAACGUGGUGAACCUCGCAAACCUUGACGCUGAGUGAGAGAAGCCUGUCACAAAAGGCCACGGAGUGUAUGAUUCCAC